ACAUAUGUGUAGUGUAACUUUAGUUGAUUUGCUUGUACAUAUCCCCUUGUUUUUCAUAAUUCACUGAAGUAGCAUAUUAGAUUGCUGACCAUGGAGAUUUUACCUGACAAAAGAAAAAUCUUCUUAAGAUUUGUACUACUCGCUAUGAAGUAUCUGCAAUGUCUCGGUGCUAAUGGAGAAUUAUAAGAUGGAAAAAAGGGGGAAGGAGGUUUAGUUUGUUGUUUGAGCAUUAUUUUCAUCGUGGUGUUAGCAUUCCGCCAAAUGAACUUCCAUGUUUCCCCAACUUUUGUGAGCUUUUCUCUUUUAGUUUGUUUUCUCUAGAAUUGUCAGCAAAGUUAAAUAGGCAAAUCGAUAGCUGAAAUUAAAUUUGUCUCAACAAGUACGUAUAGAAAAAGACUACAUGAAUUUGGUCCUUUUGAAACAUUAUUGCUGCAAAGUUUGUUCAUUUUGUUCUGAUUCUUAUCUGUCUCAUAUUGUAUUGAAGAAAACUCUCUCACGGCUAGUGAGGAAGCAUAAUCAUGAGAAUUGUUAAAGAGUUGAAUUGUGACUUUGUUCUAGCGUUUCAAUUUCCUUUAGUUUUUUUUUUCCAAAAAGGGACUUGUACUCCAGAUUUGAAUGAAAGUUUAGUACUUCUUUUAAGAGUGAUAGGCUCUCAUUUGGUGAAUGUUUUUGGAUAGUUUAUCAGUAGAUAUUUUCCCACUAAGCAUGUUCGUUAAAUUUAAAUUUUGAGUUUGAGUGAAAAACUAUUUUGCCUGUGCGUGCAUUUCUUUUUGCUUAUUGCUCUAAGCUCACUAGAUAUCUAUAUUUGCUUACAACUUAAUUUAUUUAAUUUUUAAAAUAUAAAUAAAUUUUUGGUGUUCUCUUUCCACUUGGUAUAUUUAACGGUGCCCACAAUGAUAUAGGUUCGGAUCAUUGACAUUUAAAGCCCCUAAUGUAAGAUAUUCAUCCAUAGAUUUGACUUACAUUGCAUACGUAUAUCUGCCUCUCCAAGACAAAGGAGAAAAUAAAGCAGAAAACCUACCCGAUGUAAUUUGUUUCUAGAGAAUAGAUGUGUUUAGUCGGGCUCUUUGUCUGCAUUUGCAUUUAGCUUCUCAUUCAUUACCGAAGUAUCAUUUGAUAUCAACGUAUAUUUGCACUAGAAAGCUAUAGAUUUCUUACUCUCUAUUGUGAAAUAUUUGAUAUUCGGUACCAGGUAAUGGCUAAUAGCCAAAUUUGCAUGCAAAAUUUUAUAUCCUUCGCAAGUGGAUUGAUAAUCUAGCAUGAGUGGAGUAUCUGACGGUAGAUGCAUAUGACUGGAGUGAAGACGUUUAUAAUGUACAUGUGUUGUCUUAAAAUUGAAAAGAAGUGUUGGAUGCACAUGUUUAUUUUACUGCUAUCAUUUCACAUACUUAAUUAUGCAAAAAAUAUAAAGUUGGAAGGUAUGACUUAUUUGUAUUUUCAUUUGAAUUGAUGUUGUGAAGUUUGUUAUGACGUAGUAUUAUUUUUAUGACCUUCGCUUCGAUAUUAGAGAGAAUUAACUCAACACGUGGUAUUUUGCAAUCAUUUUGAUAAUGAGGAAGAAAAUGAUGUGAUGAGCUUGAGCUUGAUCAAGGGAAGAUGGAAAUGGUUGUCGAUGAUUGUUUGGAGAGGGAAGAUGGAAGUGGUUGUUGAAGGUAUGUUUAGAGAAUUCUGCUUCUCCAAAAGUUAAUCACAUCUUGUGGAGUACAAUCACAGCUUCUUCAUUAUUUGUUACAACAUUUCUUGAAUUUUGAUUGAGAUGGUAAGAAAAGUCGUUUUUGUAGUAAUGCUAGUUACUUUAUAAUGUAUCGAUUCGCGAUUAUGUAGCAUAACAUAAAUGAUCAGUACUUGAAGAAUAGCGACUGAAUGUGCUUUAUAUGUAGAUAUUUUGAAGUGCACUUUUGAUAUCUGCACCAUGAUAUUUAAUUGCUCAUUUAUGUU